rnacentral:rRNA from 1 species
UACGGAGGGUGCGAGCGUUGUCCGGAAUCACUGGGCGUAAAGGGCGCGUAGGUGGCGGAGCAAGUCAACGGUGAAAGCUCGACGCUCAACGUCGAGUCGGCCGUCGAUACUGCUUUGCUCGAGCACUGUAGAGGCAGAUGGAAUUCCGGGUGUAGCGGUGGAAUGGCGUAGAGAUCCGGAAGAACACCGGUGGCGAAGGCGGUCUGCUGGGCAGUUGCUGGAC